CAAAUUUAAGCUUUAUUAGGAAAGCAUUUUAUUUACAUUAAAAAGUAGUCGUGCAAUUCGAUAUAAUUUGA
rnacentral:tRNA from 1 species